rnacentral:rRNA from 1 species
CCUACGGGGGGCUGCAGUGGGGGAUAUUGCACAAUGGGGGGAACCCUGAUGCAGCGACGCCGCGUGGGUGAAGGAGUGCUUCGGCAUGUAAAGCCCUAUCGGCAGGGAAGAAGCAAGACGGUACCUGACUAAGAAGCCCCGGCUAACGACGUGCCAGCAGCCGCGGUAAUACGUAGGGGGCGGGCGUUAUCCGGAUUCACUGGGUGUAAGGGGGGCGUAGACGGCCAUGCAAGCCAGGGGUGAAAGCCCGGGGCCCAACGCCGGGACUGCCCUUGGAACUGCAUGGCGCGAGUGCGGGAGGGGGAGGAGGAAUGGCUGGUGUAGCGGUGAAAUGCGUAGAUAUCAGGAGGAACACCGGCGGCGAAGGCGGCCUGCUGGACUGCGACUGACGUGGAGGCUCGAAAGCGUGGGGAGCGAACAGGAUUAGAUACCCCAGUAGUC